rnacentral:rRNA from 1 species
AUUGAACGCUGGCGGCAGGCCUAACACAUGCAAGUCGAGCGAGCGGCGGACGGGUGAGUAAUGUAUGGGGACUGCCCGAUAGAGGGGGAUAACUACUGGAAACGGUGGCUAAUACCGCAUACGGUCGGAUAACCCAUAUGGGAUUAGCUAGUAGGUAAGGUAAUGGCUUACCUAGGCGACGAUCCCUAGCUGGUCUGAGAGGAUGAUCAGCCACACUGGGACUGUGACACGGCCACGACUCCUACGGAGGCAGCAGUGGGGAAUAUUGCCCAAUGGGCUCAAUCCUGAUGCAGCCAUGCCGCGUAUAUGAAGAAGGCCCUCGGGUUGUAAAGUACUUUCAGUCGGGAGGCAUUACCGACAGAAGAAGCACCGGCUAACUCCGUGCCAGCAGCCGCGGUAAUAC